rnacentral:rRNA from 1 species
GGGGAAUAUUGGACAAUGGGCGAAAGCCUGAUCCAGCCAUGCCGCGUGUGUGAAGAAGGCCUUUUGGUUGUAAAGCACUUUAAGUGGGGAGGAAAAGCUUAUGGUUAAUACCCAUAAGCCCUGACGUUACCCACAGAAUAAGCACCGGCUAACUCUGUGCCAGCAGCCGCGGUAAUACAGAGGGUGCAAGCGUUAAUCGGAAUUACUGGGCGUAAAGCGCGCGUAGGUGGUUAUUUAAGUCAGAUGUGAAAGCCCCGGGCUUAACCUGGGAACUGCAUCUGAUACUGGAUAACUAGAGUAGGUGAGAGGGGAGUAGAAUUCCAGGUGUAGCGGUGAAAUGCGUAGAGAUCUGGAGGAAUACCGAUGGCGAAGGCAGCUCCCUGGCAUCAUACUGACACUGAGGUGCGAAAGCGUGGGUAGCAAACAGGAUUAGAUACCCUGGUAGUCCACGCCGUAAACGAUGUCUACCAGUCGUUGGGUCUUUUAAAGACUUAGUGACGCAGUUAACGCAAUAAGUAGACCGCCUGGGGAGUACGGCCGCAAGGUUA